GCGACACCCCUGUGGAGCAGGACUUGCUUCAGUGGGGUUUUGGUGCUCACUGAGUCCGCCCCUUUAAUGUGUGGCU
rnacentral:pre_miRNA from 1 species